rnacentral:lncRNA from 1 species
CAAACCAGGCCCGGCUGCCACAACAACACAUGCGGGCUCAACGCGGCGAACCCUAUCUCCGGGGAGACCGCCUUCGGUGAGCUCGCCCAAGAUGUCCUCUCAAUUCCAUCCACAGAUGGGUCUAGCCUCGGGCAAUUGGUCACUAUCCCUCAGUUCCUCUUCGCUUGUGCGCCUUCCUCUCUGGCACAAAAGGGGUUCCCACCUGCUGUACAAGGAGUUGUUGGCUUAGGCCACACUUCGAUUGCCCUACCGACUCAACUGGCUUCCCACUUUGGAUUCCAACAGAAGUUUGCUCUGUGCCUCACUUCCCCACUUAACCAUGGAGUACUUUUCUUGGGAGAAGCCCCCUACAGACUACAUCCCGGCAUCGACGUCUCACAUCCACUAGGCUCUACCCCACUAUCCAUCAGCAGAGAAGGCGAGUACUUCAUACAAGUGACAUCAAUAAGGAUCAAUGAGAGGGUCGUCCCAGUGAACCCGGCCUUGUUAAACAGAAGACCUGGUUCGACUCUGAUCAGCACCACAACGCCUUACACCGUCCUGGAACACUCAAUCUACCAAACUUUCACUCAGUUCUACGCGAACCAGAUGUCGUGGGCACCCCGGGUGCAACCAAUUGCACCCUUUGGGCUGUGCUUUGACGCGACUAAGAUGACUGCAACGCAAAUCGGGCCUGAAGUUGCUAACAUUGAUCUUGUAUUGCACAACCGUAACAACGUAUGGAGGAUUGUUGGCGCAAACUCAAUGGUACAGCCGCGACCUGGGGUCUGGUGCUUAGGCUUUGUGGAUGGAGGAUCCAACCCUAAAGCUCCAAUUAUUCUAGGGUCAUAUCAGUUGGAGGACAAUCUUCUGCAGUUUGAUCUGGCUAGGUCAAAGCUGGGCUUCAGCUCUUCGCUGCUAUUCCGUGGAACUCAUUGUGGUAACUUCUUCGUAGGCUCCGCCCAAACCUCAGCUGCAAAGGAGGAGAAGCAUGUGUAGGCAUAAGUGUGAUAGCUUCUUCCUCUUUUUUGGUGUAUUAGAUCAUGUACAUCUGAAGUUGUACUUGUCUUUCUGCACUAAGUUUUUCUAAGAUGAAUAAAUAAAUGGUGGGGUGAUGUUGUGUUUAUGAUGGCAGCCAAUUUUCAGUCAACUAACAUGUUCGAAUGGAUCAUAGAUUAUCAAGGCUAGACAUAAUUGAACUGAAUUGAAUGGUGAAAAAUCAAGUCUCUGCAAAUUCUUCCAUAAUCUAAACAACCCGGCCGGAUCCCCAAAAAUGCCCAUGAUCACCAUAGAAACACAUCAUAGAUCCUAACCAGUGUGCAUGUGAAUUCAAAAAUCUAAGCAAGAAAAAUGAUUUGUAUUCAAGUUUGAAUGAUGGCUGUAUGAUGAGCAUCAUGUCAAAUUCCAUAAAAGUCCGCCAUAUUUUUCAUUGGAUGCUAAUUGGUUUUCAGAUGGAUUAGACAUCGACACUGAUCCGUCCAUCAGCAAUGAUGAGAAAACUCAAAUGAGCAAAUCUGGAUUAACUUCCAAGUAUGAAAAAUGAAACCUUAAAAAACCAUGCAAAAAAGCAACGUUGGAUUCAAUGGAUCAUUCUUUAUACUCGUGGUAUUAUUAAUGCUCAUACCUGCAUCAAUCUAUACCUUCAACAACUCCAAAACCCUUUAUUUAUGCUUGUCCAAAAGUGAAUAAAUGCCAAAUAUUUAAGUUAAUACAUACAAAAUUAAUCACAUAUAUACCAAGAGAGAGAGAGAGAGAGAAAUUCCACAAGUGAAUCUUUUUUAAUCUCUAAUUUCUUUAUUAUUGGAUUGUAAAGUUUGAAUCAAUUUUAUUGUAUUUUGCUGGGGAUGUCGGGAUUUGAGCUUCCCGCUAAGCUCGUUAGAGAAUUUUUUUUAAUAUGAUGAAUAACGAGUUUGCCCUUAUUAAAUAUUUAACUCUUAUAUAUUUUAGGUUUUUCUUUUUAGAUAACAUAAUCAUAAUUGAGAAUAGUUUUUUAGAACUUCAUCAUUAUAUUGCCUCACGUUUCUUUUGAUUAGUAGAUUCUUGAGUAUUUGUGUACUCUAUGGACAUAACCACGUUAAAAGUCUUAUCUUUAUAUAUAUAGAAAGAGUAUCUUUACACUUUAAUAUUGUUAUCAAUGAGUAUAAUUUUGUUUGCAAGAUUGGAGCAAGGAGGUCCUAUUCACAAUCAAGUUAUUUGGUGGAAAUCAUCACCUAACAUUGAUUCCUUUCACAAUCAAGUUAUUAAUUGGAUGUGCGGGUGAGUGUAAACUUAGGUGGUUUAUUUUCAAUUAAUUAGUAAUGAUAAAAAGUAGGUGGCACUCACCCUUUAUGUAAGAUUUAUUUUCUAUUUUUGUAUAAAAUACUUUUUUUUGUACCAUUGAAAAAUAGAAGGAUUAUGAUAUGUCUUUAUCAUUGUAAUCUUUGCUCAAUUCAAUUCAUCUUCACCUCUGCCUGAGCUAUUUUUUAAGAACUGGUAUAGACAAAAAAAAAAAAAAAAAUUAUCUUUUUUUUUUUUUUGAGAACUGUUUUUUUUUUAAAAAAAAUACCAAAUUAGCUAUAAAUUAAUUAAAAUCAUAUAAUGAUAUAUACUAAGCAAAUUAUUAAUUAAUAAUUAAUAAUUUAUAAUAAUUAUAUAUGAAGAAUUCUAUCUACUAAAAAUGUAACCAUCAAGUUUUUGAAUUAAAUUUCCAUAUCAUCACAUGGAUUUACAUAUACUUAUUUCAGAGCUUGGAUUCAAAGUGGCACUUAUUCUGACCACUAAAUCACAUCUUAAACAUUUGACUAUUUUUGUCCUAUAUUUUAAGUGCGUGGUAGUGAUUUGAGAAAAUAUUUAUAACAUUCCUAAUAUUUAAAAAAUAAAAACUUUUAAAUGUUAGAAAUGUUAAAGACGUUUCCUAAAAUCAUUAUCGAACGAACUCUUAUCUUUUAAUUUUUCUUUUAAAUGUAUUUACUAGAAUUUACAUCUUCAAACUAUGACUUUAAUAUGAAUUUUAAAACCAUAUCUUAAAACUAUAUAAUUUAGCAUGUGUUUCAAGAUCAUGUUUUGAAAGUACAACUUCUACUUUUUUUACAAACUAUUUAAAUUUAAAUUUUUUAAAUUAGGAAAAUAUUAAGGUACGGUAUUUAUAACCAAUUUAUAAUCUCUAUGAUUAAAAUGUAUAUCUUUAAUAAAAUCUAAAUCAUUGGAUGAGAACAUAAAUAUGUAACAUUAUAAAUAAAUAAUAUCAUAACAAAUGAGAUUUCAUUAAAUACUUCUUUUAUUUUGAAUUGAAUGGAAUGUCGGUAGGAAUGAUAAAUAAGAAGAUCGGUGAGUCAGAUAUUUGAUCAAAUUUGUUUCCAAGUGAAGCAUGAAACCAUGAAAAUAAAUUGCAAAGUAGGUGUUGUGAUUGGUUUUUCCAUAAAGUUCAUCUUAUACCUAUGAAAUAUGAAUGCCCAUGACCUACAUUUUAUCAAUUAAAAUGGUCAAUUUGACCCAAAAUUCCUCCUUUCACAUGUACCUUCUUUCCAAAUUUGUCGUUAUACAUGGUAAAUGCCACACAACAUUACAUCAUAGUUUCAUGUGGGGUGGGUACCCUACAAUUAAAGCCAUGCCGCUCAUCUUUGGUCACCCAUCCCUCUCAUGGGGCCCAAUUACUUAUCUCUUUCCAAGACUGGUCACACUCAGACCCAUCAGACCAUCAAGCUUCAUCACUAAAUAGUCCUCUCCUACCCUCGUGGAUUAUUCAACCAUGGCUUCCUUGCCACAAGCCCACUUAUUUUCUCUCAUUUUGCUCUCUCUCACAUCAUUCUCCAUCUCCCAAACACCCUUAAUCCACCCUAAUGCUCUUGUUCUUCCCCUCACUAAACAUGCCUCAACUCUCCAAUAUGUCACCAUUAUCAGCCAAAGGACACCCCUAGUGCCCUUGAACGUUAUUGUGGAUCUUGGUGGCCAGUUUCUAUGGGUUGGUUGUGGCUCCAAUUAUGUCUCGUCUUCCUACCGCCCGGCUCAAUGCCACUCGAGCCAGUGCUUCUUAGCCCAUGGUCCCAAAAGUUGUGACCAUUGCCUGUCUAGGGGUAGACCCAAGUGUAACAAUGGGACAUGCAUUUUGUUCUCAGAAAAUGUGUUUACUAGCAAAGUCUCAGCUGGGGACCUCAGUGAGGAUGUGCUCAGUCUCCAAUCCACAGAUGGCCUAAACCCUAGAAGUGCGGUGGCUAUUCCCCAUUUUCUAUUCUCAUGUGCCCCAGAGGUUCUCUUACAAGGCCUUGCUGGUGGGGCUGAAGGAAUUGCAGGCCUCGGCCAUGGCAGAAUUGGGCUGCCUACACUGCUCUCCUCUGCACUCAACUUCACCAGAAAAUUCGCCGUCUGCCUUCCUCCAACCACAACCUCAAGUGGGGUUAUCUUUUUUGGCGAUGGGCCUUAUGCUUUGCUCCCGGGCAUUGAUGUAUCCAAGCUACUCAUCUACACUCCUCUUAUCAAAAACCCUAGAAGCGUGGCCACUAGGGUUUAUGUCACUGAACCUUUGCCUUCAUAUGAGUAUUUCAUCAGGGUUAAGUCGAUUCAAAUCAAUGGAAAACAAGUACCAUUGGAUUCAUCACUGUUAGCUAUCAACAAGAACGGCAUUGGUGGGACAAAGAUCAGCACUGUAAAUCCCUACACUCUGCUACAAACCUCCAUAUACAAUUCCUUCACCAAGCUUUUUCUGCAAGAGGCCAUGGCACAUAAUGUUACUAGGGUUUCUCCGGUAGCGCCAUUCGAUGUUUGUUUUAGCACAAAAAACACCAAUGGAGCUUUUUCUACUCCUGCCAUUCCUGUUAUUGAUCUUGUGUUGCAGAAUAAGAAGGUGUUUUGGAGGAUUUUUGAGACCAAUUCCAUGGUGCUGGUGGGUGAUGAUGUUGCUUGCCUAGGGUUUUUGGAUGGUGGGUUGAACCAAAGGACUUCAAUUGUGAUUGGAGGGCACCAAUUGGAGGAUAAUCUUCUGCAGUUUGAUCUUGAAUCAUCAAGGUUGGGGUUUACUUCUUCACUGCUGUUAAGGGAGACCAGUUGUGCCAAUUUUAAUUUUACAUCUAGCCUUUGAUAUUUGAUUAAGUACUUAUUUAAUUUUAAGUAAGAAACAAGUUCAAUUUCCAUGGUGGCAACCUUCAAAAUGCGAAUCUCCAAAAACAAAUAAUAAAAGAGCUUGUAAUUUUUAAGAAAUGUGAUAUGUAUAUUAAGUCCAAAUCAUAUAAGCUUAAAGUUUUAGGUUAAAACCAUCUUUUCGUAAUUUGCAUGUUUAUUUCACGGGGUAUCGGUUUUACAAUUCGUUUAGAUUUUCCGACCCAUGGUUAUAGGAUUCAACAGUAAUCACAACUUCUAACCAGGCUUAAAGGGUAGAGAGAACAGACCCACAUCGAAAAAGGAUAGAGAGAAAUUCCAAAAUGAAACUUCAUAAACGGUGACCCUUCAUGAUUUGAAAAAAAAAAAAACAAACUGAUCAAUUUUUCUGCUUUAAGAUUAAGAUCCAACAUGGUUUCCAAGACCAAGCUAGCCGAAGGUGGAAAAGUGUCCUGCAAAUUUUAGGGGUUCCCCACUUUGCAGUGCCUGCUAUACUCAAUAGAGCUUUCAUGUACAAAUAGCAGAAGAUAGCAAUGAAUGGCCUGCAACAAUUGAAUACUUGAUGGACCACUCUCACAUUUGCUUCUCUGCAGUCUACACUCACGGAGGUAGAUUACGGGUUUGAAGCCCAAUCUUGGAUCAAAUUAGACCGUUUGAUCAUAAAAAUUGACUGUUUUGACCCUUUUUUUAAAAACUUGCAUUAAAUAUGAACUGUUUUUUUCCAUUGUCUCGUAUUAUCCUGAUGUGAAAAUGAAGUUUCAAUGGACAAUUACGACUUUAUUUUUGAACUGAUGUAUCGAUUCAUGGGGCCCAAUGACUCUUUAUUUAUGGUAACAAAUCUCAAUCUAUCAUGGGUGUGGACAUACACAAGAUUGUACUUUUUUCUCCUAAUAAAAAAGUUUAAUGGAAUAAUUUCUGAAUCCUAACAAAUUAUUCGGAAUAGAUGGUGUCACAUGGUCAUCUCAGAUUUUAUUAUUUUAUAUCAAAUUUGAUCUUAAUGUUUUGUAUUUUAUUCUUAUUAUUUGGUGCUUUGAUAUAAUUUGUGUAUAUUUAAUCUCAUUUAUUUAUAUAUCUUACAAUUUUCUUUAAUUUUAAAAUUUUAUUUAAAAAUUGACGUCUCGAACAUUAAAUUUAACUUAAUAUAUAUUUGUAUUGUCAUCUAAUAACUUAAAACCUUACAAUUCUUUAAUAAUUUAUAUUUUUAAAUAAAAAAUAUUAUAUUUUUGUUAAUUUUUAAAUAUUUUCUUUUAGAAACUUAAAAACAUUAUCUCAAUAAAUUUUUUGUUUUGGAAAAAAAAUAUAAAAGUUGAUAACUUGGUAUGAAUACACUAAUCCCAUCAUAUUUUUAGUCUUUUUCUUUGAAAAAUAAAUGACAGAACUAAUUGACAUUGUUAGAUUAAAAAAAAACAAAAGAAAGAAAGAAAGAGUGAAUUGAAUAACAUUAGCUUUUCAGAUUAGAAUAUGAGAACAAAAAUUUUAAAAAUGAAAAGGUUAAUCUGAUGACAUUUUAAAACUUUUUCUUAAAAAAAGAAAAGAAAAAGCUAAGAACCAAACUUUAAAACAAAAAGAAAAAAAAAAUUACUCAAUUUUUGGGCUUAAUUUCAUUCCAUUUCCUUAUAAUUUUGAGUAAAUACAUCUAGUUUUCAUUAAUUUGAAAAUUCAUCAAAUACCACUUAUAUCAUUUUUAUUUGUUAUUUCCACUCACUUCUCAUUUCAUUAAAAAUAAUAAAAUUUAAUGAAAUUUCAAACAAAUAAGAGUCAGGUGUUUUCAAUUAAAAUCCGAGGAGAAGUAAAUGAAAUAAACCAUUAUUAUUUUCAUCAUUCAAGAGAAAAAAUAAAAAAAAAAUAUAGCACCAAUCACAUUAGUCUUUUCUCUCAUAUAUACAUAAUGGGAUAAAUUAAUAGUUUUCUUUUAGGAUGAAUGAGAAGAAGAUUUGAGAAAAUAAGUGUGGCACUUUUCAACCACAUUGGUAAAGGUAGAAGCAUACGACAAUUGGAUGGCUAGAAUUGCCUUCAAGUGAGGAUUGCCUCAUAAUUCUAAUUUUUGUAUAGGUUGCUACGCAAGAAAAAAAAUAAAACUUGCAAGUAUGAAAAAGUCUUUCUCUAAGGCUUAUAAGUACUCUAAAUUGGAAGAAGACAUGGUGAACUCCUAACUUAAGGUUAUACUAGCCACCGACUACAAAGAAAAAAGACAAUUGAUGAGAUUGGGUGCAUCUCAAUGAGGCAAACGAGCACGUAUUAUGAGAAUCGAUGGGGUGUGCAUAGAGUCAAAGCAACAAAUGGAAAUAUAAGCUUGACAUUAGCUAAUUGGAUGUACCUUAUAUACAAGCAUUUAACAAUUAUGUAAACUUCAAAUUGUUAAUGGCCCCUUUAGGCUAAAGGAGAUCUUUUGAACCAUGACAAGAAUCAAUAUUGUGAGUAUCAUAGACUGCAUAGACAUAGAAUGCAUAAGCUUGAAGCACGUAAUAAAAAUGCAUGUGAAAAUGUGUGAGUUAUGCUAGUUCCUUGCCAUCCUUAGCGAUGGAGUUCGAUAAGCACAACAACUUGAUAACCUCUCUAAUGACAAUGUGUAUGAAAGAUUAGGGCAUGUUGUUUCAAUCAUACAUAGUGGAAAUCUACCAACUUGGAGUAGGUUGACCAAUUUAGAGUCAACAUUUGACUAGUUAACAUACGCUUAGGUGGUAGCAAAGGUUUGGCUUUUACACAAGCAAGUGGUUGAGAAAUGUCAAAACCAUAUAACGAGCAUUGGUGGUAACCUUGUUAUCGUAAAUUGUGAAGUGCAACAUAUUUUGGUUGAUCUAGACAACUUAGUUGAUAUCUGAUUCAUAAACACUUUUAUAAGAAUAGGGUUACCUUCCAACCAGUUGACUUCAAUAACAAGUUCCCUUGCAAGUUUAAUGGGUGCUUUGUUAGUCCAAUAAGUGAAGUGAUAUUUCUAGCAUUACACUUACAAUUAUUAUGGUAAAGUUCCUUGUAGUGUAUGUUACUUUUAUUUAUAAUAUGAUCUUGGGAUGAAGUUUAAUUCAUCCAAUAAAGGCAAAAUUGGACAAAGUUGAAUUAAAUUUUGAAGUUGAUUUAACAUCAUCCCAUUAAAGAAAAUCAAUUACAUUUCAAUACCCUAUGUCAUUAACAAUGAGACGAAACUCAGGUGUGUGACCUACUAUUUACUAUAUGCAGAUUCUUUAUGAACUGAUGUAUGUAAUCCAAUAAGGUAGUAGUAUCACCUAUAUAUCAAGAUUACUUCACCAAUCAUUGAGUUAUAAUUCCCACUUUUUAUGUGAUAAAUUAGUAUACUCUAUCUCUAAGGAAUAUAUGUCAAAUUUCUACUAAAAGAAAUGUUAUGGUCAUGGUUUUCUAGAUUGCAUAUCCUCUAGAUCAUCCAAGAAGACACAUUGUCUCAAACAUAUGAGAUAUCAUAGUAUUUUUAUUAAGAAUACAUGUUAUCACCAGUUUCUAUCAAUAAUGACCCAAUCCAUAGGGAUGUAUGACCACUUUAGGGUUUCACCUAUAAGUCAAAACCUCAUGUUGACUUUGACACAAACUCAAUAUCCUUUUAAGAUUGAGAGUCCAUACAACAUAAUAACUCGGUGAAUCAUGACAAUUGAUAGUCUUACGUCAUGAUUCACCGUAAAUCAUUUUCAAUGUGUAAUCAUAUAUAUUAGUGCACUCAUCAUGAGAAAUUAAUCCUAAUAUUCAAGAUAAAUCAUCCAUUUAAUUAAGAGGUAUUAUAGUCUUUAUUGGAUUGCUCAAAUCUAUAAACUGAUUAUGAACCAAUUAUCAACUUACAAGGAACUAUCCCUAUGACAAUCAAAGACUCUAGUAGACAAAGUCUUCAUAAAGGGAUCAACAAGUUCUUCGUAGAAGCAAGAUCUUCUCCACAACCACAUCUUCUUUCAUUACUAUCUCACGUAUCAAGUAAUACUUCCUCUCAAUAUGUUUACCCUUCUAGUGGUUCCUUAGUUUUUUAAAUUGUAUCACCGCCUCACUGUUAUUACAAAACAAUGUCAGGGACGAUACAACCAAGGGUACUAUCCUAAGCUCCAUUAAAAACUUCCGAAGCCAACGACUUCCUCUAUUACCUUAUAAGCAAUAGCAUACUCAAUUUCCAUAGUGGAAUGAACGUAAUACGAGAUUGUUUUACACUUCUCCAACUAACAAUCCCACCACCUACAAUUGACACAAACUCAAAAGUAAGCUUGCAAGAGUCUUUAUCAUAUUCAAAUUAAGUUUGAAUUUAUAUACCUAAUGAUAGAGACCUUGGAUUUCUCCAUUCUCAAACCUUAGAUUGUAUAGGUACAUGCAAAUCUACCCUAAGCUUCUUUAAAAACUAAUCCAAACGAAAGCAUGACUUUUAAAACCAUUUAGAUUAACAAAACUAAGGAAAAAAACAUUCAUACAUGGGUUUGGAUGUUCCUAGAUCAAUUUAUUGCAUUGAAAUAGAUGUCUAAAUACUUUGGAAGUCUCAUACAACCAAAGUCUUCCACCCAAUGACUCAAACUACAACCUUGGCACUCUAAAUAGUGAACUUUGGAAGGGAAUAUGCCUUGGCUCUCUCUCUCUCUCUCUCUCUCUAUGGAUGUGGAAGAUGACAAUCAAAAGCCUUGGAAACCUUAACCCUUAUAGGUAUUUAUAGGAUUCCUUUACUAGGCUUAAGUGACUUAAGCCCACCAAGGCUUUGAUCACUUUUAAUCUAACCUAAAAUAGGUUCUAAUUGAUUAAUUAACCACACAUGGUCAUCUAAUUAAUUAAUUAAUUAACCCAAUCCAAAGACCUUAUUCACUAUUUCCUAUGCAGUCUUACGUAAUUACCAAAAUGCCUUUACACACAAGCGUAAACCUAGGGCUAAUCCAACUCUCACAAAAUAUGUCAUCAUGGUAUAUGAGAUCAAAAUGGAAACCACUAAGACCCACAAGAGUAUUGAUUCCAAUACUCUAUGUAAAUAACAAUGAGACAAAACUUGAGUAUAUGACCUACUAUCCAUUGCAUGCAGAUUGUCCAUGAACUAGUGUUCAUAAUCUAACAAGGUAAUGUUAUCAUCUAUCACUUUUCCAAUUAAGUUACAAAUCUCGCUUAUUAUAUGAUCAAUUGACAUACUCUAGCUCCACGAAGUCUAUGUUAAAUUUUCACUAAAAAAAAUGUUAUGGUCAUUGUCUUUUAGAUCACAUAUAAUUUGGAUCACCCAAUGAGACACACUAUCUCAAUUUCAUGAGAUAUCAUGGUACCUCUAUUGAGAAUAUCUGUUGUCACCAGCUUCCAUCAACAGUGACCUAAUCCAUAGGAAUAUGUGACCACCCUAAGGUUUCACUUAUAAGUCAAAACCUCCUAUUAACUUUGGUACAUGCUCAUAUAAGAUAUUAUCUAUUACAAAAAGAUUAAUAAUUGAAGUAAAUUCAUUUCAAGCAUAGUUGGCAUCCUAAUUUCCUUCCAUGUUAGUACUAGCACAUUCAGUGGUUACCUUUUCCCAAACUUCACCCUCAACCUUUGGAAAAGGGGAUAUGAUUUACUUUACUUGACAUUCUUCAUAGUUGAUGUUAUACCUUAGGUCCUUAGAUUUAACAAAUUGUUGUUAGAGAUGAUAAUGAAUAAGUCUCACAACUUAAGAAUUUCUUCUUCUUUUUUAUGUUCAAACUUGGUGGAAGAGUUUGCUAAGUCAUUUUGUGAUUUCUCGUUUUCUCUUAGCAUUUCCAAAGAUUGCUUGAGUAAAUCCAUGUAUUUCUUCUUCAAGAAUUCGAUUUUUCCUUUCAAUUUUCCUUAUUUACUUUGCAAACUUCUUUAAACUUACUCAAUAGGGCUUUCUUCUCACCUACCAACUUAUCCUUGGUUUGACACUUAGUUUUCAUGUUCUAUUAUUUUUUGACACUUGAUAACAAAUAUCACUAGGAUCUAUAAAAACUGUGAAACCAAGGUUUAGUUAAUUUUGAUUUUGAUGAUAACAAAACAAGGUUUAAAACUAAUGAUUAUAUUUCAAGUGUGAUUAGGCAAGACGAUCUCCAAAGUGGCAAUCACAAAGACAAAUCAAGCCAAGGAGAAAUCAUGAAGAAGAAGACCACCUCAAAGAGAAGUGUUUUUCAAGAUCCAAGCUUCAUAAGAUCUCUUUGUAAGGUUGUUGGUGCACUAGGAUUUUCAUGCAUUACAUUCUUUACUUAUGCACCAAAAUCAUCCAAAAGUUAUUUUGUUUUAAAUAUUUUAAAAUUUGGAUAAUUUCAUGUUUUCAACUAAAACCUUGUGUUAAAUGUUUUUCAAACUUGUUUUAAAAUGUUUUAAGUUGAAAAAGUUGGUUGUUGAGCUAAAAAAUGGCUCAACCGGUUGAACCGGGUGAGGAACCGGUCGAUCACAAGCUCAACCGGUCGAGGUCUGGGUCAACCCACAGCUCAACUGGUCGAGGCCCGCGUAAACCCCCAACUCAACCGAUCGAGGGUGCAAAAAACUUUCUCUUUCUUCCAGAACGGUUGUUCAAAAUGUCAAGGUUGAACCUCAACCGGUUGAGGUUCGGUCGAGGUCCAAUUGAGGCUCAACGGUCACCUGCCAAACAUUAAAUGCUAACGGAGCGUCAACCGGUCGACCCCUAACUCGACCGGUUGAACCCCCAAACGGUUAGUUUGGCUUUUCUCUUCUAUAAAAAGGCUCCAAUCUUCAUUGUUUAAUGAGCUUAACCUUCCCAAACCUUUCUUGAAUAUAUUUGAGCCUUGAAAAAGUGUUUUUGAAUGCACCAUUGUUCUAAAACUUGCAUAUUCUUAGUGCACAUUUCAAUCCUAGUUUUCUUGUAUCAAUUGAGCUUAAAGUUUUUGUACUAGGAUUUUUGUGAGAUCACUCAUUUGUAAAUCCUUGAGAGGAAAUUGUUCAAGAGUGAGAUAUCUCUUGAGAAGUGUAAAGGGUGCUUGGAGCCAAAAGUCCAAGAGGGUGAAUUGGAACCAUAAUCCAAUUGUAUUGCUUGAAGGCUUGGUUUGGAAGCCUUGAAUUAGUGGAACCUCAAGCUCGGGAUUGAAGCUAGAGAAGAGUGGAUGUAGGUCGGGUUGCGCCGAACCACUAUAAACUCUUAUAUUUGCAUUCUCUCUUCCCUACUCUUUAAUUUAUAUGCAAUUGUCUUUAUAUUGCUUAUUAUGUACUUACAUAUAAUUGUCUCUUACAUUCACAUAGUUUAAAUUUGCAAAAAGAGACCAUCACCCUAUUCACCUCCCCCCCUCCUCUAGAGUGAUUAUCAUAGGUUGGAUUAACCUAAUAUUCCUAACAAGAACCAUUCCUUCAAGACAUGAUAUGUUAUAUAGAGAAAAUUUUAUGCAAAAAUUUAAGUCAAUAGAAAAUAUCAUGUUGGUGUCUCCCCAAAGCCUAUGCUCAUAAUUAACGGUUCAUCAUUUUUUCAAUUCCUCUUUGCCAUCAUUUUUUAGGGAUAUAUGCCUCAAAACUUCCUUUUGCAAGGAUAAACCCAAGAUGGUUUUAGAUAAAUCCUCCAACCUAGAGUCACCAUGAGUGAUCUCCUCCCUAGUGGCCCUUAAGUAAGGUAAAUUAUCCUUUAUUUGAGCUCUUUAUGGGAGAAAAUAGGUUUGAUGGUCACUGGUCAACAAUCUUUAUGAGGUUGGAGGAAAAUGACAUACGAACGACUUCAUCUAAAGUUCUAAUUGGAUCAAUCCCUGCAAGUUUUUUCUUGUUAGGUACCUUAUUGCUCAAACACCCACUUGAACUCCCAACUACCUGCAUUUAGCAAGAUCAAAGGGCAUGGUUGGACAUUUUUCAAUCAUCAAUGACUAAAAAAAAAAAAAAAAUUCAUCUCCAAUAGGUUAGUGUCUUUCAUUGGUGUAAUGUAAUCUAGUUGCCUCAUAACUCCAAAUUUUGAUAAGCAUUAUUUUCUAUGAUGAAAAGGUUGUUUCAAAACUUGCAAAGUUAGCAAAAUGAAACUAUUUGGGAGCUUUGUCAAUCCACUUCCUUUCAAGGAACAAGCUUUCUCCUUUUUAGCUUUCUCAAAAGCCUUACAAGUACUUUGAUAUUGUCAUUAUUCACUUUCAUCUAUUAAGUUCGUUGGUGUCAUAAAAUUAAAGGAACAAAAGAAAGAACACUACCAAGAGAAAAAUUGACGGAAGAUAUUUUUAUCUAAGAAAGAUUAUACUUUGUAUUUCUAGAAGACAAAAGGUUAUUCUUCCUAAUAUUAAAUUCCUUUAUCUUUUUCAAUCAAAUACUCUUAAUAUUAAAUCAUAUAGGGGGUGUUUGGUACACGGGAAUAGGGAGUGGGAAUAGACAUCUCAUUCAUUUUCUCCCUUAUUCCUAUGUUUGGAUAAAUGUUAAGAAGGCGGAAAUGAAAUAAAAAAUUAUUCCGGCAGAAAUCAAAUCCAACUUAUGAGUCGGAUUUGCAUUCAUUAAAAGUAGGUGGUAUUCUGAUUCAUUAAACCUAUUUGAUAAUAUAAAAUAACCUAAAUUACUAUUUUACCCUCUUAUCUUGUUCUUUAAACUCGAUGUUUAUCUUCUUUGUAAAGGUAGAGAUCCAUUCAUCAUCCACUUCUUAUCUUCUUUGCAAAGCUAGAGACCCACUCAUCAUCCAAUUCUAUGCAACAAGUGAUUCUUCCAAAUUGAAUCAAUUAAACCUUCCACGAUAUUUUUAAAAAAAAAAAAAUCAAUUUCUAAUUUAUAGGGUUUUGGAUGUUCAUUUUGAUUGUUGGAUCUAGGAUUCGUUAUUGUUUGCUGCAACUAGGUUCUGAAAACUCCCUUCUACAUCUUCGAUCAGGUUUACCUUAUUUUCUCUUUCUUCUUCUACUUCUUUAUAUGUGUUUCUUCUUCUCUAUAAAUCGAUUAAUUUUUUUUUAUUAAUUUAUGUUUGGAAUCUUUGAUGUUUCUUUAUCUUGUAUUAAUGGAAACUAGAGAGAAAAAUUGAAAUGGUUGGAAAAAGAUUUUUUGAUUUCACGUGUUUACAAUAUUGAAAAUUUUUAAUGGUUAGGAAAAAAAUAAAAAGAAAAAAACAAACAAAAACAAAACUUUUGUUCAAUUUAGAUGAAGAUCUCAAGGUUGAAUGGACAAAACAACUUCUUCAAACCCCAUAAAUCUCCAUGUUGCAUCCUUGUUGAUUUAUUGUCUUUAGGUUGGAUUGAUAGAAAUUUUAGGUUGGAUUUUGUUUCAUCAAUUUCCUAUGAACUUUUUUAUUGAUUUGAUGACUUAAUUUUGGAGGAUAUACUAGUUGUAGAUUUUAGUAGAUAUGAUACUUAUAUUGAGAACUAGAAUGAAGUUUGUGUUUUUUUAUUUCCUUUUUUGUAAAUAAGAAAUAAGUAUUUGGUAGCUUUGACAAUUUAUAUGUUCUUAUAUUUUUUUUCUUUUUUUUUUCUUAGUAAAAUAUAAUUCUAUAGCUUUUUUUGCAUGACAAAUUAUUUAAAAUUUUGAUAAAAAAAACGAAUAUUUAAAAUUUUUUAAGGUUAUGGAUUUUAUCGGAUAUGAUACUUGUUGAAAAUUAGAAUAAAUUUGAAUUCUUUUAUUUCCUCUUUUGAAAAUAGGAAAAACAUUUGCUAGCUUUGAGAAUUUAAAUAUUAUAAUAAAUAAUUUUUUUUUGAAAAAUAUAAUUUUAUAACUACUUAAGCAUGACAAAUUAUUCAAAUUUUUAAUAAAAAUAAUAAUUGAAUAUUUGUGCAUUAGGGUUAUUCGAUUUUUUAUGGUUAACUUUUUAUUUAUUGAGUAUAUAUAUAUUUUUUGGUCUUAUUAUUUAAUAACAAAAAACCUUUCAAAUUUUAUUUUUUUAAAAUAAAAAAAUAUUUUAAAUUAUAUGUAAGGAUAUUAUUAUAAAUUUAUUUUUUUUUCAUUUCCAUUCCUAUUAUUAUCAAACAUUGGAAUGGAAACAAAUAAUCAUUCCAAUCUUGUAUUCCUAAGUUCAUCCAAAUGCUAGAAAUGGAAUCAUCAAAUUCAUUCCAUUCCACUAAGAAAUAGGAAAGGAAACAAAAUAUUAUUUCCAUUCCCUAUUCCGACAUACCAAACACCCCCAUAAGGUAUUGAAUCCAAAAAAUCAUAAUGCAAUAAAUAGAGUAAUAUGAUAAAAUAUAUAACUAAAAUACCCUUGAUUUUACAUAAAAUUACAAUAUAUUUGCCAUUGAAAUUGUGUCAUUUAUGCCAUAUUUGAUCCCAAAAAUAUAUUUUAAAAAUAAUUUUUUUUAUAUUUGUUUUUAUUAAAAAAAUAAAAAUAUUUUAAAAUCAUUUAAUCUUUAUAUAAAAAAAUUAUUGACUUUAUUUAUUUUUUCUUUCUUUUUACUUUUCUUCCCUAUUUUCCAAACAUACUCUCGCGGAAGGGAGGCCUUUCUCCACUCCGAAGGCACGAUUCCAAAGGCGAAGGCAUAGUCCGGAAGUCAAUUCUCAGUCCAACGCUGCAAAACCCCAAGAAGCAGCAGCAAUAGAAGAAGAAGAAGAUGCAUUCGUUUGGGUACAGGGCCAACUCUCUUCUCACCUUCGCCGUCACCAUUCUCGCCGUGAUGUGCGCCAUGGCCUCCUUCUCCGACAACCUCAACACCCCCUCGCCCUCCUCCCAAGUCGAGGUCUCUUUUCUCUAUCAAUUUUUCCCUUUUUUUUGGGGUUUUUUGUUUUGUUUUUCAAACCCUAGAUUUGGGUUUGAUUUUGACGGGGAUGUCCUUUUUCGGUGGUUGCAGGUGUUGAGUAUCAAUUGGUUUCAGAGGCAGCCCAAUGGGAACGAUGAGGUGAUUGGUUUUUCGGAUAUUUUUUUAUAAAUAUUUAUUUCGUGAUUGGGUUUCGGAUUUGUUUGAAUUGAAGGGCAUUUGAUUUUGGGUUACAUAAUAUGGUGAGAGUUGCUUUUUGGUUGUGUGGGAAAUUGAGGGCUUGACUUGGGAUUGGAGACUCCAAUUCCAAUUUCAAUUCCACUGUUUGGUUGAAUGGAUUUUCGAUUAGAUUGGAAUUUUAUAGACCUAGAAAAAAGGAAAACAAAUUCGAGGUAAAAGCCAAGAUCCGAAGUUCCAUUGAGUUAGAAUUCUGAAGCAAAUCCAUCUCUCAUGCAGCCAAACCAUCGCUAAUUGAGUUUUCUUGCAUAUUUUCUAUGUAUUUUGAUUUUUUUAUUUGUUUGAUAUAAUUGUUGGGGGUGGUUCGGGGUUCAUAAGGUAGUAAAUUUGAGAUAUAGUGCGCAGUAUUUUUAUAUAUUUUUUUUCAAUUUGCAGUGCCAAAAGUUAAUUUAAUGCAUUGAAUUAGAUAUGGCUCAUUGAAAAUUGAGUACAAAGUCACCAUGUUGUGGUAUUUUCAUUCAAAAUAUCCACUAUCUAUUGUCAUGUAUUUAGUAGGCACUGCAGCAACAAAGAACAAUGAGAAAAUCAUCAGUAUCCCAUUCUGCAUGAUUAUAGAAUCUGUAAGCCUAGAUGUCUUUGUGUAAAAAACUAUUUUGGAUCAUGAUUAGAUUAAUAUUUGCAUGUGAAUUUCAUUAUGAGGCAAUUGUAUUGAGCACUAUUGAUUCGUAUCCAAAACCCAGGGAAGAUAUUUGGAGACACUACCUGCCUUCUUGUUGGUUGGCAUGUUGAUUUGAAAAGCAAACCUACUUUGUUUUUGUUCCUUUUCCUUUCUUUCUCCCUUUUUUUUUUUUUGUUUUCCUGUGGUGUUUAUGUGAGAACCAUAUCACAUUAUUUGUAUUCAUUGUGUUGUGUUAUUGGGAACCAUGAAAGUUUUUACUUGGCUACUACCUACUCUGUCAAUCUGAAUUAAAAUGUUUUCAAUUUUAUACAGGUCAGCAUGACAUUGAAUAUAUCAGCAAAUCUGCAGUCAAUGUUUACAUGGAACACAAAACAGGUUUACCUAUUGACAAAUUCUUAUGUUUUUAUUUAUUUAUGCUUCUCAUACUUUUUCCUAUACUAAAUAUACGUAUAUUUCCAGGAUGCUUUAAAUAGUUUUUUCCCUGUGGGAUUGGGAUCUAGUUCUUGUAGAAAGAUUGAGAUUGACCACUUGAGGCAUUCCUCAAGUAUAUCUGUGAUGUUUUCAUAAUUGGUUCAUAUGCAAUCAUAAUAACUGCUGGAUUUGGCCCUUUUUGGGAUGAUAGGAAUAAAAUGUGUCAAAAUUUAUUUUUUUUUAACCGACUGUGCAAGAGAUUUUGAUGAAUUGAUGGUACCGGCACUUCCACAGAUUUGUUAUUCUCAACAAUAAAUAAAUGUGUGAUGUGAAGAGGGCAGCUCUAGAAAAUUCAGGAGUGAAACUUUUCUAUAACUUCAUGAAGCAGAGAACCAAAAGGAGAGCAAUUUUGAUAGAACUUACUGCAUUUUGGGAGAUGAGAAACUACUCCAUCAAAUAUCCUUUCAUUUCCUGACUUCCAAAUAAUGGCACAAACCCACUGAAAGGGGUUUGAUUCUCUAAACAAUCAUCUGUAUAAGUUCACUCACUCCAAAUCACCAACAAUAAUAACCAUUUUACAGAUCCUGGAAAUACCAAGGGCCCAACAUAUCUGAAAUAGUGAGAAGAGUACACAAACUGCAGGGUUUUCUGUUAACUUUGCAUCUUCCUUGUUCAUAUUGCAUCGGUUUGUCAUCAAGCAACUGCAACCCUCAAAUAGUCAUUGUUCCUCAACAGUGUCCCAUCUCCUCCCACCACACAACCAUUAAAAGAAAAAGGCACAAUAUAUUUUUUCUAGAGAAGCUAUAUGGUCAUUAUGGGUCCUUCAAAUCUUGUUAACCAAGUUAUCUUCUUUCUUUUCCUCUCCAGAGUUUUGCACUCAUUUGAGAACCAACAACUCAUAUUAACUUCUAGUUUAGCUGUCUUCCAGUAUCCUAGAAAGAGGUAUUGGACUGGCAAGUUGAUGCUGGGUUUUGAAUGGGCCGUUUAUCUUAUUUUACAUUUGUUGAGUUUGACUCAUAGUUGGUAUAAAUUCAUUUGAUUUUUCUCAUUAUGUUGCCUCAUCUUCUCUCAACCUUGAAAUUUUUUAUUAUUUUCAGUUUGUUCACUUACAUUUUUCACUGAUGCCAUGCCAUUUUCAUUUAAUCACUAAGAUAGAGAUAUAUUCUUUUGUAUUUGUUGUUUGUUUCUUUAUUGUUCAUUUGGGGCAGUGUUGGUGUUUGUGUUUGGUUGUCCAUUGAAAAUUUUAAAAUUCUAUGUGAAACACAAUUACUGAUUUCAAUUCCAUGGGAUGUCAAUGUGCCAUGGGCUUGAUCCAGCCUCUUGCUCUCUUACAGUUUUGCAAAUUUCAGUAGUAUUCUGAGUUUAUUUUUUAUCUUAUUUCUAUUUGUAGGUUUUUGUAUUUCUAGCAGCUGAGUAUGCAACACCAAAGAAUUCCUUGAAUCAGGUUAGCUUCAGAGCAUCUGGAAGCACAGAUCCUUUGUAUUUUUUUUCAUAUCAAUUUCAUUCUUUUUUUUUUCCCUCACAUUUUAUAAAUCUGAUUGAAACACAUGGUUCCUGCAAGACAUAUGAUCUACUUUAUGAUUGUUCGCAUCAUAUGGCCAUACUUCUAUACUUGUUGACAUCAUCCUCUGAUUCCAUUAUUAUGUCAUUUUUCCACAAUGGCUUAAAUGGAGAUGCCUAUUGAAGAAAAUAGUUGAAAUGGAGAUCAAUUACAUAAUAAAUUUUUAUUGUGGUGUUGAGCUAGAGGUUCCUUCAACAUCUGCAAAUUUCAACUAUUGGCCAUUAUGUUUCUAUUUGCCACUGUGAAAGCAACACAUCAGCUGUUCUCAUGGCGCUUUUUAUAGGCAAAUGAGAAUAAUAUUAACAAAGCCUAAACAAAAAGUGGGCUCCAAAGUAGUGUGCAAAGGGCACCUAACUGGGUUCUCAUAGCUUACAUUAUACUGUAGUGGACCACAAAUUGAGAGUAUAAGUUAAGGUUGUUUUUUCUGAUUCAUUUUUAUAUUAUAGUAUUGUCUUGGCCUGCUAUUUCUUGUGUUUUCUUUUUCCUCCUUUGGUCCAUUCCUAAAUCCAAAAUGGAACCAUUUCCUUGUUUGGGUUCAAAGCUAUUGAACAAUACAUUGAUGCUGCAUAAUUUAUUAUGAAGGUGAGAUCUGAAAUGACAAAGUCAAGAGGAAUUUGAGUACAGAGAGCUUGACUUCUAUCGCUCCAGAUAAAGAUUAAUUCUUUGCAUUAGGUGGUGCAUGCCCACUGAUUUAGCACAUUUAGGAUAGUGUAUAACUCCUACCUCUUAUCCAUAAUUCAAUGAAUUUAUUUUCUUUGUAUUUUCUUUUUCUACAUGCUCUCUCUAGGUAUCUGGAUUAUGUGUAAGUGUUACCCUGAAAGAAGAAAACAGUAACAGGCAUUAACUUAACAUUAAGAAAUUCAUUUAGAAUUUGAAGUAGAGACCACCAUUAUAACCCAGAACUGAAAUUAUGAUUUCAGCAAUGAUGUGCCAUAAGUGAAGCGACUCCUGGGGAGCAAAAUUUUUUGACUGCUAGCAUAUGCGUAUGCAUUUGAAAUAACUUUGACCAGGACCUCAAAUAUGAGUUUUUGAACAAUAACUGAAAAUUGAUUUUGAAGAAAGUAAUAGUUGAGAUAAAUACGUUAUUGAGUUGAAUGAUCAUCUUUCUUCUCGGAGAUUUUUUUUCUUUUCUCCCUCAGGAAGUUAAUGAUGUCCAGACGAAAAGUUUCAUAAAUUGAGAAACUUUUUUAACUAAGGCAUGGCAUUCAUUAGGUUGCAAGACUGUUCGAGUUUGGGAAGAAAUAUGUUACACUAAUAUCAAGUGGUUUGAGCACUUAAAAAACAGUCUACCAUUUCAGAAAACAGUGCUCUGGGCAGGAUGGUGGGCAAGCCUCCUGACAGCAAUAAGAUUUUGUGGCAAGUUUUAUGGUACUUGAUUUAUGGGUGCAAUUUUUAUUUGUUAUGAUAGAUUUCUAUUUCCACCAGUUCACUUGGUUAUAAUAUACUGUUGUGGUGUUGAUUUGUCUAGCUGUCUUUAGCUGUUCUGAGGGGGUAAUGUGUAAAAUUGUUGAUAAAUUCUAGUCCAUUUUUUCAAACCUCCUCCACUCCCCAGCAAAAAAAAAAAAGGAUGUUCAUUGCUUGUGUUGAUUUUAAAAUUAUCAUGUGAUAGGUUUCUCUCUGGGAUGGUAUUAUACCUUCAAAAGAGCAUGCGAAAUUCUGGAUUCAUACCACAAACAAGUACCGAUUCACUGAUCAGGUAAAGCCAUUUCUGGAAAUUAAUUUUUACCACUACCUCUUCAAACCAAGCCAAAUCUUUGAUCUUUUUGCUAUUGUAGGGAAGCAAUCUCCGGGGAAAAGAAUUCAACUUGACAUUGCACUGGCAUGUCAUGCCCAAGACUGGAAAGAUGUUUGCUGACAAAAUAAUCAUGACCGGGUUCCGCUUGCCAGAAGAAUACAGAUAAGGAUGAUUCUGGGGUGUUUUUUUGGCUGUAACUUCAGUAUUUGUCCCAUGGGGAUGUAAGAGGUUAUUGAAAUUCGAAAAUCAGAGAAAAAGGGAAAAUUUCCUAUUUGAGUCAAUGACUUUUUAUUUAUGAGGAUAUUGCUUAGACUUUUUGAAUCCAUAGAACUUUGUUACUGAUUCUUGGAUCUUGACCCUUCCCUCAGAUAUUCACAUCUAUCUUGUGACCAUUUUUCUGUUCAUAUACAAUUUUUCCAGGUUGGAAUCUCUUUUCCUGGUGUUUGGAUGCAAAACUACCAAAUGGGAUUUCUUAGGAUUUCUUCAGGAAAAUCACUUCGAAAGGGAAACUCCUCUUCAUGGGAAUUUUCUUGGUGCAGUUCAUCACCGAUGGGAUUUUCCUUUUCUCAUCGCCCUCCAAAAAGGAAAAGAAAAGGAAAGGAAAAGGCCCCUCUUCAAUCGAGAGGAAAUGACUCUGAAGUGGGCUGUGUUCUUGUAUUCUCAGUCCCAUUUAGAUAGCAUUUUGUUUUUAGCUUUUGGUAAAAAGCUACUGAUUCAUUGAUUUCUAAGGACAGUAUACUGUAGUUUUAAAUUUUCUAUUAAAUAUAAAAUAAUAUGAUUUAUAAAUAAAUUAUAAAUUUUAUAAUAUUUAUUUAUUUGUAAAUUAUAUUUAUUUUAAUGUAAUUUAAAAUUUAAAAAUAAUAAUAUUAAUAAGUUAGGUAAACAAUUAUCUUUUUCUUUUUUUUUAAAAAAAAAUUAAUGGGUUGAGAAUGGAUUUAAACAAUUUUAGGGUUUAAUGCAUUUCACCCCCUUCAAUUUAUUACGGGUUUUGCACAUUGCCCUCUCACCGUUAAAAUUGAAGACAUUGUCCUUCAAACUUCUUAAAUAUUAAUAUUGUCUCCUUUUUGUUAGACAAUAUUAAUUUCAAUGAACGAAACAUGUGAUAUUAUAAAUUUAUCCUUAUUUAUUUAAUCACAUGCAUACAUAUCUCAUAUUUUCGUCCAUUAAAACGAACAUCAUUCAAUAAAAAGCUACUAUGAAGGCAUUUAAGAAACUUAAAAAGUAAUGUAUUCGAUUUUAAAUAUGAGGAGCAAUAUGUAAAACACGCGUUAGGUUAAAAGUGUAUUAAACCCAUGAUUUUUUUCAUUUAUUCAAAAUCUAAUUUAAUUAUGUACAUAAUUUAAAAAUAAUAAAUAUAAAAUUCAUGAAUGAGUUCCAACCCUAAAUACACGUGGAAUAAUCAGGAUGACAUAAAAUGAACACUUUCAUGUGAUUGGUCCAGCAAGUGGGACCCGUCAAAAUGCUGACGUGGCAACCGGCAACAUUUGAUAUUGCUAAAUGGGAAAACUGUACGGACAAACAUAACUGGUGGAGACCCAUCUUCUCUUUCAAUUCUCAUCCCCUUCUCUUUUUCCUCUCUCUAUCUGUCUUUCUCUCAGGCCAUCGUCGUGCUUCUUCAGGUACGGAAACCCUGAAUCUCACUCCCCUUUGUUUGGUUGCUCUGCAAAAAAAAAACCGAAGGAAAAUGAAAGAAUCAACAAUAAAAUGUUACAAUCUUAAUUUUGAAUUAUUCUUUUGAGCGACCGAGAAAUCUAGAAGGUCUCUACCCAACUGAGACUGUUACAGGUUACAACACGGAACAAGAUACGUGGAAUUUUAAUCAUUUUUGUUUUAUUUUAUUUUCUCUUCAACCGAACAGAAGUUAGGGCUUUGAGUUUUGUCUCAAUUGGGGGAGAGUUUGAGUUCAGAUUGUGGUAUCGCUUGUGCAUUUGCUUUACCUAUCACUGGAAACUCCAAUUACUAUUGGAAAAUAACCCGGAAUUGUUGGACAUUUAUUUUCUCCUUGUCCUUAGUUUUCUGGGCAAGCAGACAGAAGGCUAGAGUUGUUUCCUCUUUCUAUUCUUGUUUUUCCCCCCUUCAAUACGGGAAGUUGUAUUCAAAUUCUGGUGGUGUUUGGAAUCUUUGCUUAAUUCGAUCACUGAUUUGAGUUUGAAUUGUGAAAGUAGAACUUAGUCCUUAACUUUUCUUUUGUUUUCUUAUAUUUUCUCAGUUGCCAAUUAGAGCCCUAGCAUAGCCUCUCUGCUACAUUGUGAGCGCCUAGCUAAAUAUAAUAUUUGAGCCUUACUGUACAUUGAAGUUAAUGUUCAGUGCUAAAUCAUUAAGAGCCAUCUCUGAAUGCUUGCAUUAGCAGCUCUCAAUGACAUACUAUGUAUGCUUAAAAAUCCCAAGGGAAAGGGUGCAAAAUAAUUUCUGUGUGCAUGAUCAAAUAUUUGUUGUCUUUAUUAUUUUAAGCUUCUGCAUGUAACUAGCUGGUUCUAUGGCCUUCUCAAAUUGCUACACGGACAACAGUUUCAAACAUUGCAUAAAAUUCUGAACCUUUAGAAUUUGGUACUGUUAUCAGUAUUUCUGACUUAAGAUGAGUAUGCACUAGCAGACGAAAUCAAUUAGAUUAACCUAUGACUUGGUUUCAAAAUUAUAUUCUAUACAAAGUGUUUUCUCUUACUCUAAUUUCCUUGUUUUUUAUUGUUGUUCUUGAGCUAUUUUCUUUGCUUUUGAGAAUGUUACCAUUUCUAUAAUCUUAUUUAUCUUUCUUUCAAAAGUACAUCCAUUUAUGUUGAAUAUGUUCUAGUAUGUGUACCAUUAAUGUCCUGAAGGUCAUGAUUGUUGCGCUUCUAUUUUUAUGAGACUAGUUGAUCUUGUUUGCAAUGGAUGAAUUUAGCUGUAUGGGUGUGAGUAAUAGAAUUGUUGGAAGAAAGUCACUGGUAUAAUUUCUAUGAUACUUGUUAUGGGUCUUCUGUUCAACUUAAAUAAUAACUAGGUUAUGCGUUGAAAGGAAAAUAUGUUUAAAAAGUCAGGGGUUUCAUUAACAUCCUUGAUCUUACAGGGAAGCUAUGGCCAGCCAAGCCCUUGUGAACAGUGAUCGCUCAAGGACACAUUGGACCCAAACGAUGGAACGCUAUUUCAUUGAUCUCAUGUUAGAUCAGGUACAUAGGGGCAAUAGGAUGGGGCAUACAUUUAAUAAACAAGCUUGGGCAGAUAUGCACGCCAUGUUCAAUGGAAAAUUUGGAUCUCAAUAUGAGAAAGAUGUCUUGAAAAGUCGUUACACAGUUCUGUGGAAGCAGUUCAAUGAUAUGAAGAAUCUCCUUGACCAAAGUGGAUUUUCUUGGGAUGAUACUCGAAAGAUGGUGGUAGCUGAUGAUUGUGUCUGGGAUGCCUAUAUCAAGGUGCACUGUUUCUUUGCUCUCCUUGUUUAAUCCCCGUUCUUAUUGCAAAAGUAGCUUGACAUGAGAUGCAUGCAGGCUCACCCAGAUGCACAAUGCUACAAAAACAAAGCUGUGAUGAAUUUCAAUGACUUAUGCUUGAUAUAUGCAUAUACAACAGCAGAUGGAAGAUAUAGUCGUUCAAGUCAUGAUAUAGACUUUGAUGAUGACUUCCAAGGAGUGACCAUUGGUGUGUCUCUAUCCCUGUUACAACCUAGAUUAUGGUUUUAUCUUAUAUUGUGAAUGAUAUGUGUGUACAUGUGAAUGUGACUCAAAACAAGACCCUUUUUCCAGUUUUUAUUUUCAUGGUGCCGACACUAGUUUUGGGAAGGGGGAAGACAGUAGAAUUCUGAAGCUGCAACUCAUUGCACAAUGUUUAUGAUAUAUGCAAAAACCUUCCUUUUCUUUUUGCGGGUUUUCUGUUUGUAAUGCAAUACUUAUCAUGAAAACUAUAAGGGAAAAAAUGGUAGAACUCAGAAAAUAUAACUCACUGACCCUAUUCAUGAUUUAUGAGUGUAGAAUUCUGAAGCUGUAAUUCACUGCACCAUGUUUAUGAUAUAUGCAAAAACCUUCCUUUACUUUUUGCAGUUUUUCUGUUCGUAAUGCAAUAUUUAUCAUGAAAACUAUAGGGGGGAAAAUGGUAGAACUCAGAAAAUAUAGCUCACUGACCCUAUUCAUGAUUUAUGAGUUGACCUAGAAUUUGACAGAACAAAAUCCUUGCUUGAAUUUCAUAAGUUUCAGACAACUAUGAACCUUCACCACAUCCAACAUUAUAAAAGGCCCUGUCUUUCUGUCAAUUAUAAGCUCUUAGCUCCACAAGCCACAAGUGGGUGAUCUACUAACAGUUUAUCUGAGCCAAAGAUAACCCAAAAGUGGUCAGAAUUCCUGGCUAUAUUUUAUUGUUCUGGAAACAGGACCUUAUUAAGAUAGAAACAAGCAUACUGUGAAGUGGCUGAAUGUGUGAAGAAUAUGAUAAUUGGUUGCAUUCAUGAUGAUGGAUGUUACCUGAGUGAGUUAUUGACCUUUAUCUGGCUAUCAAAAAUAAAAUAAAAUACUGAUUGUUAUUUACUUGAUUUGUUUUGACAUGCAUUUUCCUCUAAAAAAAGUGUUAGUAAUUUCAUAAACAAACUAAGAACUGGAUGCAGUAUGAUUAAGGCUGGGUAUGUCUUUAUUUGCAGAUAUCUACAAGAAUUAGAAGUUUUUUACUGAACAAACAACCACACUCACUAAUAAAUUUCUUAAUUGUAUAGCUUAUGGAAUGGGUAGCGUAGCCCCUGCAAGUAAUGAGCACUCUAGAAGAGACUGGACACCAGCCAUGGAUCAAUAUUUCACUGAGCUCAUGCUGGAUCAGCUGGGAAAAGGGAAUAAGAUUACUAAUACAUUCAAUGAACAAGCAUGGACUGUUAUGCUCUCUUUGUUCAAUUCAAAAUUUUGUACUCAGCAUGGAAAAAGGUUUUUAAAACGUCGAUAUAAGAAACUGGAAAAAUAUUAUAGUGAUAUAAAGACUCUGCUUGAGCAAAAUGGUUUUUUGUGGGAUGAUAGACAACAAAUGAUAGCAGCCGAUGAUGAUGUUUGGGAUAAUUACAUUAAGGUAUGUAUUUUAUUUAAAUUUGAUAUUGUAGUUUUGUUUUUAUAAUAUCUAAUGCUUAAUUAUGAUGGAUUUAGGCACACCCACAUGCACAAGCAUACAGAAAGAAGAUUUUGCUGAACUUUCAAGAUUUGAGCUUGCUGUAUGGAAAAACUGUCAACAAUGGAAUUCGCAGUCAUCUGCACCCAGAUAAAGACCUUGAAUAUGAUAUUGUACAAAUCAAAGCUGGUGCGUUUCAUAUUUAGACCACCAAAGUUUUUUUUUUAUUUUUAAAUAAUUAUUUAUACUGUCUUAGGAGUUAUAAUUUGGAUUAUGGUUGUCUCGUGGAAAAUUCUUCAAUCGAUCAUACUUACAUGUAACAAGAGAAUUGGGCAGAACUACAAAUAGUUGCUUUUUCUUGGUGACACUUGAUGCUCAUCAAUGGAAACAGACUUCUAGGUUCCAAUUUUGUUGUUACAUGCAUCCAGAAUUGUAUGCUAAUUUUAGUGAAAUCCAUGAGACUAUCAGUCAUAUUAGCAUUUGCUUCAAGAUGAUUUUGGGAACCUUGAGAAUUAUUUUCAUGGAUGGAUUAUUACUUCUAUAAAUUGUGCUUUCUGGCUUUGUAGGUGAAGGGGAGUACCAAACACCAAUUAGUGGUGAUGGUUAUUGGACGCUGCCAAUGGACCAUUAUUUCAUUGACUUGUUACUGGACCAGGUGCUUAGGGGGAAUAAAAUUGGGCAGGGAUUCAUAACCCAAGCUUGGAUUGAAAUGGUCACAUUAUUCAAUAUGAAAUUUGGAUCUCACUACGACAAAGAUGUUCUGAAGAAUCGGUACAGACAUUUGAGGAGACAAUAUAAUGACAUAACAGCUCUUCUUGAACAUAGCGGGUUUUCUUGGGAUGAUACACGAGAAAUGGUAACUGCUGAAGGUUUUGUUUGGGAUUCUUAUAUCCAGGUGUGAAAUGCUAUUCCCCUAUUUCUUAUUUCUCAGAUGUAUUUUAUUUGAUGUUUUGUAGCUUACAUAUAACAUAUACAGGCAAUUCCUGAUGCUCAAUCAUACAGAAACAAAACUGUGCCAAAUUAUCACAAGUUGUGUGUUAUAUAUGGACAAGAAAGUUCUAAUGGAGGAGACAACUCUUUGGCAUGCAAUGGUGACAUCGAUGGCGUGGACCCAGUUUGGAUGAUUGGUAUGUUUCUCAUUCAACAAUGAAAUUGGAAAAGAUAUUUUGUGAAGAUUGGUCCUAAGACUAUGAUCUCAAAUCUGAUUCUGGAAAGUAGAAAAUAAAUAGAAAUGCCUCUUAGAGCAAAUUUAAUUCUGUUCAAAUUUAUAUUAACUAAUAAACAAACACAAUUAAUUAUGAUUAAGUUUUCUGGAUUUUUGAAAUCCCCUGAAUUGAUCUGGUUUGUCAUUAAAACACAAGCUAAUUUUGUUGUGUACAAUUUAAGAAUUAACAAAUCACUUCAUCAAAAAAAGAAAAAAGAAAAAAAGAAAAAAAAAAGAAUUAACAAAUCACUCUCCAAAAUUGUGAAUGUUGCUUAUACUUCAUGAAUUAUGUUCCAGAAUGACAUGGUAUGCCUUUACAUUGUUGCAUUACUGAAUACGGAUAUUCAGUCUUGUUCAUCCAACCAAAUGCUCAAGUGCCUCCCACCCCACCCCUGCUACCUACAAAAGGAAAAAAAAGUACCUAAAACACACACACACACCCCUUUCUCCCCAAAUAAUGUUUGGAUCUUUCUUUAUGGAUUCCCAAAUUUUGAUUUCACUAGUGCCACAUAAUGUUAAGUCCCAGUUUCUUCACUUCAUUAACAGUAGAAAACCAAGUGAUAGGCAAUGCUUACUUGUGUAACUCUGGCUGGGUAUUGAUGUCAUCACAUAGCAAUAUUAGUUGCCAUGUUAUUUACAUUCAAAAUUCUGUUGUUGCAGAAGGAACUGAUAUUCAAUGCAAUGCAAAUAGUGAUCAUUCAAGGACAGAUUGGAUACCGCCAAUGGACAGAUAUCUCAUUGACCUUAUGCUAGAGCAAGUGCGGAAAGGGAAUAGGAAAGUUCACACUUUCAAUAAACAAGCAUGGGCAGAUAUGGUUGCAUUAUUCAAUGAAAGAUUCAGAACACAACAUGAGAAAAGUGUUUUAAAGAGUCGGCAUAAAAGUUUGAGGAAGCAGUACCAUCAUAUAAAGAAUCUUCUUGAUCAUAGGGGGUUCUCAUGGGAUGAAAUGCGACAAAUGGUCACAGCAUAUGAUGCUGUUUGGGCUGCUUACCUCAAGGUGCAUUGCUUAGUCAUUUGACUCUUUUGAUUUUAAUUGCAAGUGCCUAACAUGUGGUACAUGUAGGAACACCCAGAUGCAAAAUCAUACAGAGCCAAACCAAAGCCGAAUUACAAUGAUUUGUGCUUGAUUUAUGGGAGUCCAAUUGCUGAUGGACAAUGCAACCAAUCAUAUCAUGGCAUUGACUUCAACGGUGAUGGUGAGCCUUUAAUUGUGAUGGGUUUAUGGUUGUCUUGCAUUGGUUAAGGAAUAUUGUUUCAACAAUUUGAACCAAAAUUACUGAAGAUGCUAAUUACCUUGUGGUAAAGACCAUCGAUUUUUUCUAUGCUACCAUGUUUGAAGCCUGUGUUCACCUACUAAUUUGUUAAUCCCUAACUCCUACUGCCUUGUCCUUGUGCUGAUACGCUUUCAUGAAAAGAAGGAAGUAAGCUGCUGCAAUUUUUAAGAAAUUAGUAAGAAUGAUUCUUGGCAUUGAAUGAAUUUAGGGAUAUGUCAGUAGUAAUUUAUAUUGCAUGGUCUACUUCAAGCAUCUUUUAGCAAUGCUACAUCAUGUACACUUGACUAUUUAUGCGUGAUGUGUUUUGAUACAUACAAGGAAGACUAAUCUUUUCUCCAUAUUUUGUCAUUUUUAAAUACUUUGAAGGAAGGGAACUUAACAAUAGUAGUCACUCGCGAACUGAUUGGACACCACUGAUGGACCGAUAUUUCAUUGAUCUAAUGCUAGAACAUGUUCAGAAAGGGAGUAUGGUUGAUCAUAAAUUCAACAAGCAAGCAUGGAGUGAUAUGGCUGCAAGGUUUAAUGCAGAAUUUGGGUCUUAUCAUGACAAAGAUGUCUUAAAAAGUCGGUUUAAGCAUUGGAGGAAGCUGUUCAAUGGAAUGAGAACACUUCUUGAGCAGAAUGGGUUUGCUUGGGAUGAAAGACGGCAAAUGGUAACUGCAGCUAAUGAACUCUGGGAUUCCUAUAUCAAGGUACUUUUUUAUAAGUUAAACCUUUAGACACAGGAUUUUUCAGUCCCUGCUUCAGGGAACUUACAUAUGGUAUGUGCAGGAAAAUCCUGAUGCAAGAUCAUAUAGAACUAGAAGUCUCCCGAACUAUAAUGAUUUGUUCCUGAUAUAUGGGAAUGCAAUCAACAAGGACACACAAAACCAAUCAAGUUUUUGUAUAGACGACAAUGACGAUGACCUGGGAGUAGGAAUUGGUGUGUUUCUCAUUCUUCUUUCUCUCUCUCUCUCUCUGAUGCGCAUAGAGACAUAGACUUGCACACAUAUUAGCUUAUUGGUAACUUGGUAUACAUGGCUCAGAUUGUUCUCUCCACAUAAUGGCUCUCAUCCAGAGUUUUGGGGAUAGAUGGCUGCUAGCAUGAAUAUGAACUAAGGUCAUAUUGAACCUGCACCAUCCUUCUCUAAUGGCUGACUCUGAUUUUGUGAAACUGCUGGUAUCACAAAUUCAAUAUGUGGAUGUUGAAUGAUAGUGUUUUCAAAUGGUAGAAUUUCACACAUCUGAUUAUUCCAAUUUCUUCAAUUUGUAGGUGAAGAGGAUGACCAGUUCCUUGCUAGUAGCGAUUCUCUAGAUGUUGACUGGAUGAUACCAAUGGACAUAGACCCUCAUGCCCUAGAACUGGACAUGGAUGAAAUGUUUGGAUGUCUACAAUCCCCAUUUAGAAACACUAACAUAUCAGAUCAGAAAAAACGCCGACAAUCUGCGGCACCAUCAACUUUGGCAUGCUCAAGAAAAGUCCCCAAAACCAAAGAGAGGAUGUGGGAAUCACCCAGUGAAAAGGAAGGCGUAGCCACAGCACUGAUAAAUGAUAAAGAAGUGAAGAAUUGCAUCUCAAUAGAAACCAUCGUGGAUGCCCUCCAAAGCAUACCAGGCAUGGACGACGAGCUCUUCUUGGACGCCUGCCACCUUCUGGAAGAUGAGAAAAAGGCCGAGAUGUUUGUGGCACUGGAUGCUGCACGGCGACAAAAGUGGUUGCUGAGAAAGCUCCGCACCUAGCAUCAUCAUGCGAUUUUCAGUUGGGAAUUGGGAUUCAUGUCUAUAAUGUGUCUAUAAGUUUUUUGGGUAUGUAAAUUAUAUUUUACAGGUUAAAGCAUAGCAGUUCCCCUUUUUUUUUUCCUUCUCUUCGAAUCAAUCUCCUGGUAGCUAAUGUUGUUCAAACCUACACCUCACUCAGUUCAUAGACAGCAGAGUGUGAGCUGUCGGCACAGAGCAGUGCACCUUUUUCUUACCGCGUGGUGGUAUUUGUCUUGACCAACCACCUACUGCUGGCUUUCCUUCUAGUGAAUUGCUGCGGCAUCACCGGUCACAAAACCAUAGUUAUUAAGGAAAAUAAAAGAAUCUUAAAAAUACUAAGGAAACAAGGAAAAUGAAUUUCUUGUUGAAAUAGACAAAGAUGAAAAGAAAAUCCAAAAAAGGAAAGGAUGAGAAAAAUGUUCAAAAUAGUCCAAAAUCAAAACAAAACAAUGAAAAUAGAAUGCAAGUCUAAUUGCAUUGGAACCUUUUUCCUUGAUAUGAGAAAUGUGGAAAAUAAGAAAUAAAUAAAUAAUGCAAAGAUCUAUGACCCAAUGACAAGACAAUUAGUAGCAAGAAGCUUGGGUCUGGGAAUGGCAUGGCCUGCUUCUCCUCCUCCUCCUCCUCCUCUCUCUCUUACCUCAAAAACUCUGCAAUCCCACUCUCCCUCUUCUUCAUCUUCCUCUUCUUCCUCCUCACUACCCCACAUUUCUCCCCAAGCUACCCCUCCCCUCCCCCUAUAAUCCCCAAAAGGUCUCUCCUCAACUCCACCACCACCACCACUUCUUGCUCCUCCAGUCUUGAAACCCCCUCCAAUGGCCUCCUCAACUACCUUUCCCUCCAUUUCUGCACUUUCCACCAAACCCAUCUCAUCUCCAUCCCUUUCCUCACCCUCGUUCUCCUCCUCCUCUUCUACAUCCUUGUCAAGACUGCCCAAGAUCGCUUCUCUAUCGUCGUCACGAAGCUCUGUGCUCAUCUCAAUUUGUCGCCUAGUAUGGGUGCUGUGACCCUCUUGGCUCUGGGUAAUGGGGCUCCAGACGUCUUUGCGUCGGUGGCCGCUGUGCGUGGCGGGCAUCCGAGGACUGGUUUUGGGGCGAUUUUGUCGGCCGGUACGUUUGUUUCGGCGUUUGUGGUUGGGUUUGUGGCGAUUUAUGCCGCGCCGUUUUCGGUGGACCCGAGUCAGUUUGUGAGGGACGUGUUCUUUUACUUGGUGGCUGCGUUGUUCUUGUUCUAUGUGUAUUUGAGCGCGGAGAUUUUUCUGUGGCAGGCUAUUGGGUUUGUGGGGUUUUAUGCGUUUUUUGUCGGGUUGGUGUUUUGGAUGGAUUUGGGGAUUGGUGGAGGGAAGGAGAGAGGUGGGAGUGAGGUGGGGUUGAUUGGGGAGGUCGAGAUUGAGAAGGGUUUGGUGGGUUCUGGGGUUUUUGAGAUUGGGGAUGUGUUGAAGGAUGUGGAGAGAGGGAAGGCCGGUUUCGGGUUCGGUGAUGCACUUGGCAAGGUAUGUUUGGAUUUGAAUUGUAUUUCAAUUAUAAUCGUGUGGAUGUUUAUUUGGGAUCAUAUACGUUUGCUGAAUCUUGUUGUCAUAUAGUUCAUGAUCUAUGUGGCCAUAGAAGGUGAAGGUCGGAAUUUAAUUUGAUAUGAUGAGUUUGUUUCGUAAUUGGGUACCUGGAAUCUUGAUUUCUCAAUCAGUAGUGACUGUAAAAGUGAGGGUCUGCUUAAUUUUUUGGAAACUAGAAAAUUUAUGUGAGAUUUAAUAUGAAUUGAUUAUUUGCAUCAUCUUGCUUUGGACAUACUUACAGAAACUCCUAGACUUUCCUAGGUGAUUACCCUGCUUCUUGCCUACGUGCCAUGAUGGUUGUCCAGGGAAGAGUGAUGAUGCUCCUGCUCGCCUAGGUGCCUUGAUGCUUGUCUGUAUGUUGAAUUUGAUAUUAUCUCUCCCACUAAUUUCAUAUUUUGAUUUGUUUGAUGUGGUUUAUAUAACAUAUGAAGACAACUUUAGAUGAGGAAGCUGCUUUAAAUGGACAUUCAUAUAGGAGGUGUGAACAAAAGAAUGAGAGUAAAUAGAUAAGCCUUGAUUAAUCAAGAAAUGAUGGAAAUAUAGCGAGAUUAUGAAUCGACUAUUGCAGGGCCACACUUGAUCAAAACUAUUUGAAUUGACCAUAAAAAAUUCAUGGGUCAUGUCUAGGGGCCAUGUUAGGAUCCAUCACAAACAUCUCAAGGUGAUGCUACGUGUUGUAGACGAACAAACAUCUUAGCUUACCCUCUCAUUUGGUGACAAGAUGGUCCUGUAUCUGGCAUUUCACCAAUGUGCUGUUAUUUUCCUGUCCAUAGCAUAGUAAAGCAAGGUCCUCAUUUUCCAACCUCAGAAAAACAGGUUAAGCAUCUAGGUGUGACAAGACAUUGGCCCGUGUUAUCUUUAAGUUGGGUUAUUCUGUUUUUGGUAGGUUAAUUGGUAAUGGCCUUUUAACUGUUAAAAGCUAUAUAUGAUUUUGUGCAAAUUUGAAGUUAAGAAAUCAUUCGUCUUAUAAAUCCUCAAGGCAUUAUAUUGUUAUGAAGAAUAAUUUUGUCCUCCAAGAUCAGCUUUUUCUAUUCCUAUUUGGAAAUGAGUUCCACUCUUUCAGAGGUAUUUGUAUCUGCCCCUUAACAGAAACAGUUUUCAACCUUUUUCCCCUUCUUUUAUGUAUGUAUUUGACUGCUCAUAUCUGUUAUUGCUUAGAAGGACAUUCUUGCAAAAUAUAUAUUUCCUUCAUUCAAUUGGAUACUCCUAUAGAUCCUUAUUUUAUAUGUUGACCUUUAGAAAGCCUUCAACUUUUUCCACGGCUAAAUUUUUAAAAUGUGGGAAGGUGAGUAGGUAUUAAAAAAAAUAGAUGUAUAUGUAUGCAAGACACAAAAAUAGAUGGUGCAUAUGUAUACUCCUUUAGUCUAUAAUUAGGUGUCAAGAAAUGGAUUUCAUUGUAAUAGUAGGCUACAAACCUUAAUGAUUAUAAAUGAAGACAAAAUGGCUUAGAAUAUUUCUUUUAUACACAUUUUAUGGAUCAAGAAAUGGAGGAUAUACUUGAUAUAUCAUUGAGUUGAGAUUCUUAUGUGUUGCGUGGACUGCCCAUGGAUGAUGGAUAUUGGAGUAGUCAUUUUUGAGUGACAUGGCAUUUUUGACAAGUGAAUUUUGUUUAUUUUGCAUUCUUUAAAUUGAUAUUCUUGAUUAUUGUUUAGAGAAUAUGACCAAUUUUGGUGAGGGCUUCAUUCAUUGUUAAUGGCUCCAUCGUAGAGGAUGGAUUUUGCCUUUAAAUGGUAUGGAAAACAAAGGUUUAAUUUUCUUAGAAUGCCCAAGCACUGUCCAGGGCUUCUAUCAUAAAGCAUACCAGUGAAAAUGAUGGCAAAUUUUAGCAUUGGUAAAGCCAAGGGUCUAUCCAACCUUCUAGUAGAAGGGGAUUCUGUGGUAGUGCUAUAUUGGGUAAAAAAGGAGAAAAACUCUCGGAGGUUUGGCUAUGCCAACUUUUUGACAUCACUCUAGAGUUAGGGUGUUCAUUCUGCUGGAUUCCUCAGGCAGCUAACUAGGUGGCGGAUAAGUUAGCAAAAUGGGGAGCUUAACAUUUGAUUUCUUUUGUAGGAGAUUUUCAACCCCCCUAAGCUCUUGAAUUCAUAUUUUAAAACCUUUUUAGAUGUGCACAUCUAACGAUAUCUAGAGUAGAUGGUUUUUUCCUGCUUUUGAUCACAACUAUAUAGUUGUUGUGCUUGCAGGAAGGAUUUCUCAUCCUUCUUUAUACUUGAUAAUAAAAUGUUUGUUUUUUAUUUAAAGAAAAACAAAUGAUGACAAACUUUUCUCUCCAUUUUUUGCAUUGGGAGCCCUGUCGUACUUACAUUUGGCUGACCCUUACUGAUGAUCCUGGUUGUGGGAAUAGGUGAUUUGUCUUUUGCCAGAAAACUAUUGGUAAAAAGAGGAUUAUUGUCUUGUUUGUUUUUCCUCAUAUUUUCAGAGGUUUUGUUGGUUAAUAACCGCCCAUGCUUCUUUGCAUGGUGGAUUUAAUUAUUGUUGGAUUUUGUAAUGCAUUUCACAGUCAUUUGUGAUGAUUCUUUGAGAAAUUAUUGUUGUUGAUUAUGAGAAUGUUCAUUAAUUAAUUGUCAUCCAGGCCCAUCUAGUUUUUGAAGGUUAAUAUGCAUAUUAGCUUUUUAAUGCUUCUGAUUAUGAUUGCCCUAAUUCUGUUUUUUUUUUUGCUUGCAGAUCUCGAAAGCAUGGGAACUUCCAGUUUCUUUACUUCUAAAGCUCACAAUCCCACAAACUGAACCUUCAGAAUGGAAUAGGUUCUAUCAAUCUGCAAAUAUUGCUCUUUGCCCACUUGCCCUUUUGUACUCCUGUAAUUCAUUCAUACCACUAAAUCAUCCCAUCAUUUUUCUCCUUCCACACACUCAUUUUCCAUUAUGGUCUGUCGUACUCUUUGCAAGCUCCUCCCUUGCAGUUCUUCACUUCAUAAUAGAAAAAGAGCCCCCUGAAACUGAAAGAAUGCCUGUGGUUCUUGUAGCCUUUAUAAUGAGUGUCUUUUGGAUAUCUACUGUUGCUGGGGAGCUCCUGAACUGCCUUGCAGCAUUAGGGUCACUUCUUGAAUUGC